GUGUGCUGGGAAUUGAACCCUGGUCUUCUACAAGAGCAGCCAAAAAGCCCCCUGUGACAGGCAAAGAAGGGUAUCUGAUAUGGACCUCUUUGAAAAGGAUCUUUGACCCCAAAGGAAGUCUCCACCCACAUGUUGGGACCCACUGCUUCGGACAAAGAAGAUGAGAGAGAGCCUCAUUACUGUCCUGUUACCAUCAAAGCCCUCCACUGUGUCAGACUGAUAGGAAACACUUUCUUGCAAAAAUCCACCACUGAGAUGGACGUAAUAACACAACCUUGUCAGCCCAGCACCCAGGCUGAGGCAAGAGAUAGUUGUAGAUCUCCUCCCGCUCCAUGGCAGGGCUCUGUCUCAAGCAGAAGGAGGGAAAUGAAACAAAACAACAGCUACAACGAAACAAAACCAAAA